UACGAAGGGGGCUAGCGUUGUUCGGAAUCACUGGGCUUAAAGCGUGUGUAGGCGGAUCGUUAAGUACCUUGUGAAAUCCCACGGCUUAACCGUGGAACUGCUUGGUAUACUGGCGGUCUUGAGCCACUUAGGGGCUACCGGAACAAAUGGUGGAGCGGUGAAAUGCGUAGAUAUCAUUUGGAACGCCAAUGGUGAAAACAGGUAGCUGGGAGUGUGCUGACGCUGAGACACGAAAGCCAGGGGAGCGAACGGG
rnacentral:rRNA from 1 species